GACGAACCGUGCGAACGUUGUUCGGAAUCACUGGGCUUAAAGGGCGCGUAGGCGGACCACCAAGUCCGGGGUGAAAUCCUCCGGCUUAACCGGAGAAUUGCCUGGGAUACUGGUGGUCUUGAGGGAGGUAGGGGCACGCGGAACUUCCGGUGGAGCGGUGAAAUGCGUUGAUAUCGGAAGGAACGCCGGUGGCGAACGCGGCGUGCUGGCCCUCUUCUGACGCUGAGGCGCGAAAGCCAGGGGAGCGAACGGG
rnacentral:rRNA from 1 species